UGGGGAAUAUUGCACAAUGGGGGAAACCCUGAUGCAGCGACGCCGCGUGAGCGAAGAAGGCUUUCGAGUCGUAAAGCUCUGUCCUAUGAGAAGAUAAUGACGGUAUCAUAGGAGGAAGCCCUGGCUAAAUACGUGCCAGCAGCCGCGGUAAUACGUAUGGGGCGAGCGUUGUCCGGAAUUAUUGGGCGUAAAGGGUACGUAGGUGGUUUUUUAAGUCAGGUGUCAAAGCGUGGAGCUUAACUCCAUUAAGCACUUGAAACUGAAAGACUUGAGUGAAGGAGAGGAAAGUGGAACUCCUAGUGUAGCGGUGAAAUGCGUAGAUAUUAGGAGGAAUACCGGUGGCGAAGGCGACUUUCUGGACUUUUACUGACGCUCAGGUACGAAAGCGUGGGGAGCAAACAGG
rnacentral:rRNA from 1 species